rnacentral:rRNA from 1 species
CUGAGACACGGCCCAGACUCCUACGGGAGGCAGCAGUAGGGAAUCUUCCACAAUGGGCGAAAGCCUGAUGGAGCAACGCCGCGUGAGUGAAGAAGGUUUUCGGAUCGUAAAACUCUGUUGUAAGGGAAGAACAAGUACAGUAGUAACUGGCUGUACCUUGACGGUACCUUAUUAGAAAGCCACGGCUAACUACGUGCCAGCAGCCGCGGUAAUACGUAGGUGGCAAGCGUUGUCCGGAAUUAUUGGGCGUAAAGCGCGCGCAGGCGGUCCUUUAAGUCUGAUGUGAAAGCCCACGGCUCAACCGUGGAGGGUCAUUGGAAACUGGGGGACUUGAGUGCAGAAGAGGAAAGUGGAAUUCCAAGUGUAGCGGUGAAAUGCGUAGAGAUUUGGAGGAACACCAGUGGCGAAGGCGACUUUCUGGUCUGUAACUGACGCUGAGGCGCGAAAGCGUGGGGAGCAAACAGGAUUAGAUACCCUGGUAGUCCACGCCGUAAACGAUGAGUGCUAAGUGUUAGGGGGUUUCCGCCCCUUAGUGCUGCAGCUAACGCAUUAAGCAGCUC